rnacentral:lncRNA from 1 species
AGACACAGAGAUUGGAGCACAAUAGGAACAAAGACAAAGCUGUCUUACUAUCUAGGACAGUACAGGUACCAUUCUGCCCAGCAUUUCGUGAAACACUGGACUGAGUUUUGAAACUGGUAGUGCUAAGAAAUAAGCCAAUGAUUAAAAAUGCUUAGGAUGGGCCUGAAACUCAAUCAUUAGAGGCAAGUAAGUAACAGCCAUUAAUCAUUCUCUUGGCAGAAGCUGCUUUUUCUGAAGGAGUGAAGAGGCGGUUGGAACACUUGAUCUUUCCUUCCGGUAAAAGGAUAAAUAGUAUUGCUGCUCCCAAGAAAGCUUAAUUCACAAUGCCCUUCUUGGACACUGAUGGAAAUGUCUAAUUAAGGGUCUGACAUCUGUGGCCCCACCUGAGUCUGUAAGACCUCCGAAAGGUAAGCAGAGCAGGAAGGAGUUGGAUGACGUAACCCGGCACUUCAGCAAGUUCCCACAGCUGGAAAGUAACAGACCCUUGGACAUUUCACUAAUUUUAGUGCUCGUCACACUCUCCAUUCUGUAACAAGGCA